rnacentral:misc_RNA from 1 species
UCUCCGUUGGUGAACCAGCGGAGGGAUCAUUGAAGAGUUGCAAGACUCCAAACCAUCGCGAACAUACCACAUCGUUGCCUCGGCGGGCGGCUCCAGGGCGGAGCCAGCAGCCCCCUCGCGGGGGUGCCCGCCGAAGGCCCAACCAACCAGUGUCGUAUCUAGGCCCCUCUGAGCAACUGCGAGAGCAGAACAAGUCAAAACUUUCAACAAUGGAUCUCUUGGCUCUGGCAUCGAUGAAGAACGCAGC